AGCGAACGCUGGCGGCAGGCCUAACACAUGCAAGUCGAACGGAUCCUUCGGGAUUAGUGGCGGACGGGUGAGUAACACGUGGGAACGUGCCCUUUGGUUCGGAACAACUCAGGGAAACUUGAGCUAAUACCGGAUGUGCCCUUCGGGGAAAGAUUUAUCGCCAUUGGAGCGGCCCGCGUAGGAUUAGCUAGUUGGUGAGG
rnacentral:rRNA from 1 species